rnacentral:rRNA from 1 species
AGCGAACGCUGGCGGCAGGCCUAACACAUGCAAGUCGAGCGCCCCGCAAGGGGAGCGGCAGACGGGAGAGUAACACGUGGGAACGUACCCUUCGGUUCGGAACAACCCAGGGAAACUUGGGCUAAUACCGGAUACGUCCGAAAGGAGAAAGAUUUAUCGCCGAGGGAUCGGCCCGCGUCUGAUUAGCUAGUUGGUGGGGUAACGGCCCACCAAGGCGACGAUCAGUAGCUGGUCUGAGAGGAUGAUCAGCCUCACUGGGACUGAGACACGGCCCAGACUCCUACGGGAGGCAGCAGUGGGGAAUAUUGGACAAUGGGCGCAAGCCUGAUCCAGCCAUGCCGCGUGGGUGAUGAAGGCCCUAGGGUAAAGCCCUUUCGGCGGGGAAGAUAAUGACGGUACCCGCAGAAGAAGCCCCGGCUAACUUCGUGCCAGCAGCCGCGGUAAAAC